rnacentral:rRNA from 1 species
AACGAACGCUGGCGGCAUGCCUAACACAUGCAAGUCGAACGAAGGCUUCGGCCUUAGUGGCGCACGGGUGCGUAACGCGUGGGAAUCUGCCCUUGGGUUCGGAAUAACGUCGGGAAACUGACGCUAAUACCGGAUGAUGACGUAAGUCCAAAGAUUUAUCGCCCAAGGAUGAGCCCGCGUCGGAUUAGCUAGUUGGUGAGGUAAAAGCCCACCAAGGCGACGAUCCGUAGCUGGUCUGAGAGGAUGAUCAGCCACACUGGGACUGAGACACGGCCCAGACUCCUACGGGAGGCAGCAGUGGGGAAUAUUGGACAAUGGGCGAAAGCCUGAUCCAGCAAUGCCGCGUGAGUGAUGAAGGCCUUAGGGUUGUAAAGCUCUUUUACCCGGGAUGAUAAUGACCGUACCGGGAGAAUAAGCUCCGGCUAACUCCGUG